rnacentral:rRNA from 1 species
GAUGAACGCUGGCGGCGUGCCUAAUACAUGCAAGUCGAGCGAACAGACGAGGAGCUUGCUCCUCUGACGUUAGCGGCGGACGGGUGAGUAACACGUGGAUAACCUACCUAUAAGACUGGGAUAACUUCGGGAAACCGGAGCUAAUACCGGAUAAUAUAUUGAACCGCAUGGUUCAAUAGUGAAAGACGGGUUUGCUGUCACUUAUAGAUGGAUCCGCGCCUCAUUAGCUAGUUGGUAAGGUAACGGCUUAUCAAGGCAACGAUGCGUAGACGACCUGAGAGGGUGAUAGGCCACACUGGAACUGAGACACAGUCCAGACUCCUACGGGAGGCAGCAGUAGGGAAUCUUCCGCAAUGGGCGAAAGCCUGACGGAGCAACGCCGCGUGAGUGAUGAAGGUCUUCGGAUCGUAAAACUCUGUUAUUAGGGAAGAACAAAUGUGUAAGUAAAUAUGCACGUCUUGACGGUACCUAAUCAGAAAGCCACGGCUAACUACGUG